rnacentral:rRNA from 1 species
AAACUUUCAACAACGGAUCUCUUGGUUCUGGCAUCGAUGAAAAACGCAGCGAAAUGCGAUAAGUAAUGCGAAUUGCAGAAUUCCGUGAGUCAUCGAAUCUUUGAACGCACAUUGCGCCCGCCAGUAUUCUGGCGGGCAUGCCUGUUCGAGCGUCAUU